CUUGAGUCCCGGCCCCUAGGCCUGCGCGGCAGGAACAAGCGACCCCUGGCUGCACGACGGGGCGGAGCCGUCCUGGCGCUGCCACCGCGCCUUAGAGCUCUCGCGCGGCCACGGGAAAGAGUUUCUGGCACUGACGGCAAGACUGGGGUGAGGCCGCGCUCCCUGAGUCUGGGCGCGGCAGGCCGACGGGCGGGGCCAAGAGCACGCGGCGCGACAGACCCUUUACAGCGCCACACGCACCUGGCGGAGCAUCUUAUCCGGGACUCCAGAAUGGGCCCAUGAAACGUGGACCCGGCAUGCCCGAGAAGUAAUAGGCUCGGGGAGGGGGGUGGUGGGUGAACUCGAGUAGAGGUAAGGAAAAAAAUCUUACUGUCUUCCAAAUCCUAAAAGCCUCCCUCUCGGUCCGCCCGCUUCCUGGCAGCCUCACCAGAAGUACUUUGCCAAGCACUUCAGCGGUGUUGGAAACCUUGUUGCAAAGUCGAAACCCAGGCGAGUGGGCGAGACGUGCGGAGAGGUAUGGAUAAAUGGGCACCUUCCCAGACUCCUCUACCCAGUAUUUCUUUCCCCCUUGCUUAGAUAACUGAUGCUUGCAGACAAGUGCCUUCGCUGCCCAUUCCUGAAUAGAGGUGGUCGAGCUCUGUUCGCGAAAAACUGGAUCCUUUAGAACCCAAAGUAUUGUGGAUACGCAAAAACUGAUUUCUCACGAGGUGGCUAGGCAGCAACAAAGGUACUGGCCUGAAGUGCUCCCAGUCCCUGGAACUACUCCCCGCGCCCGGGAGCCAAAAGGCGAGUUCGCCUCGAGGUUACCCCGCUCAGAACGCAGGCGGCUCCCAGACAUGCACUAAUUGAGUCACAAACCAUUCGCCAUCCCUAACAAAACGAUUCAUCUCUGCAGCUCAGCCCCCAAUUUGUCCGCAGCACUUUCUUCUGCAAUUCAGAAGCAUUAUCUUGUUUUUAAAAAGUAUCGCUGCAGAGACGUGGCAAUUAUCUUGGGCUCGGGUUACAAUAAAUGGUUUUAGGUUGAGAAAUGUAAGACUACAAAUGCUGCAAGCGUGCUGAUCGCCUCGCUGCCCAGUCUGGACUCGGGUAAGAAGCUUUUGGCUGGGGCUAGGGAAAUUCUGAACGAGUUCCCACUGUUGUUCUCCUCUCCUGACGAGGAAGAAAGUAGUGUUGGACAUUUGUCCCUUUGUAAAGUUCUCCCAGUCACACCUCUGACCUUGGAGGAAGAAAGGAUUAAUUAUAUCCUGACAUGGCCAGGCCAAGCUUCUGGUCUGAGUCUGGGUUUUGGAUCAGAACUAGGUUGGGAACUUCAGAAACUGCAGGAAUGAGGAACGGAACCGAGGUCAAAGGUCAGCGGGAGAGUUGGGGGAGAAUCCAGUUUCUCUUCUGGACAACUACACUAAAAUUGGGGAGGAGGUAGGCACCGGGGGAAAACAAUAAUAAACUGGAAGAGGAGUGGGCUCCUGAACAAGAGGCAGGCCUGGCUUGGGAAGCCUUGUGCAAAAUAAAACCCUCCGAGAACUGGGAGGCCCAGGGACCAGGCCUCUCCACAUCAGGGGGAGAAAAAUACAUCAUUUUAGUCCGGCAGGGUGAGUAUGGGCCUGGAAAAGAAUACAAGAAGCAUCCGGGUGCCGUCGCUCUGCUAGUAGACGCCUGCUCACCCCAGCAGCCCAGUCGGCCGGCUGUGGCAGCCACACUGUGCGCGUGUCUUUCUCCGGCUCAAACCAGCCCUCACAUCUUGAAGUAAUCAGCAGCCGAGAAGGGACUCGUCCCCCUGGCAUCUCAGGUUAAAGAAGGAGGUCCAGGAAAAUGUGGUAGAGCCAUUACAAGAAAUCCGAGCCGCAGUCAUCAGGGACUCCAAUUGCCAUCGCAUUAGGAUUGAUUAGAGACCAGCAGUACCGUAAUGACCCGGAAAGAGGGGCAGCCGGGGAUUAUUAAUAUCAGAAUGUCGGGCGAGGGGAGAGCAAACUGGGAAGG
rnacentral:lncRNA from 1 species